GGCCCAAUGGUCUAGUGGUAUGAUUCGUCCUUCGGGUUAGUUACAACUCGUUCUAGCUUCUAGAACACAUCUGGACGAGGCCCCGGGUUCGAAUCCCGGUUGGGCCC
rnacentral:tRNA from 1 species